rnacentral:rRNA from 1 species
CCUCAAAUCAGGUAGGGCUACCCGCUGAACUUAAGCAUAUCAAUAAGCGGAGGAAAAGAAACUAACUAGGAUUCCCUUAGUAACGGCGAGUGAACCGGGAUGAGCUCAAAUUUGAAAUCUGGCGUCUUUCAGGCGUCCGAGUUGUAAUCUAUAGAGGCGUUUUCCGCGCCGGACCGCGUCCAAGUCUCUCGGAAUAGAGUAUCAAAGAGGGUGACAAUCCCGUACUUGACGCGACAACCGGUGCUCUGUGAUACGUUCUCAACGAGUCGAGUUGUUUGGGAAUGCAGCUCUAAAUGGGUGGUAAAUUCCAUCUAAGGCUAAAUAUUGGCGAGAGACCGAUAGCGCACAAGUACCGUGAGGGAAAGAUGAAAAGCACUUUGGAAAGAGAGUUAAACAGCACGUGAAAUUGUUAAAAGGGAAACGAUUGAAGUCAGUCGUGUGAAAGGUAUUCAGCCGUCUCUGGCGGUGUAUUUGCCUUUCACGGGUCAACAUCAGUUUAGUCCGGUAGAAAAAGGCUGGAGGAAGGUGGCACCCUCGGGUGUGUUAUAGCCUCCUGUCACAUGUGCCGGAUUAGACUGAGGAACGCAGCUUGCCGCAAGGCCGGGGUUCGCCACACGUACAAGCU